rnacentral:rRNA from 1 species
UACGUAGGGUCCGAGCGUUGUCCGGAAUUACUGGGCGUAAAGAGCUCGUAGGUGGUUUGUCGCGUUGUUCGUGAAAACUCACAGCUUAACUGUGGGCGUGCGGGCGAUACGGGCAGACUAGAGUACUGCAGGGGAGACUGGAAUUCCUGGUGUAGCGGUGGAAUGCGCAGAUAUCAGGAGGAACACCGGUGGCGAAGGCGGGUCUCUGGGCAGUAACUGACGCUGAGGAGCGAAAGCGUGGGGAGCGAUCCGG